rnacentral:rRNA from 1 species
AGCGUCUGGAAAGGCGCGCGAUACAGGGUGACAGCCCCGUACACAAAAGCGCAUGUGCUGUGAGCUCGAUGAGUAGGGCGGGACACGUGGUAUCCUGUCUGAAUAUGGGGGGACCAUCCUCCAAGGCUAAAUACUCCUGACUGACCGAUAGUGAACCAGUACCGUGAGGGAAAGGCGAAAAGAACCCCGGCGAGGGGAGUGAAAAAGAACCUGAAACCGUGUACGUACAAGCAGUGGGAGCCCCACCACUAAGCCAGUGGUGAACUCCACAUCCGCAUCCUUUGCUGAGGAUACGGUUAACGGAGCGAAAGCGACGUUCAACCGCAAAACAAGCAGAGGGGGCUUAGUGGUGGGGUGACUGCGUACCUUUUGUAUAAUGGGUCAGCGACUUAUAUUCUGUAGCAAGGUUAACCGWAUAGGGGAGCCGGAGGGAAACCGAGUCUUAAYYGGGCGUUAAGUUGCAGGGUAUAGACCCGAAACCCGGUGAUCUAGCCAUGGGCAGGUUGAAGGUUGGGUAACACUAACUGGAGGACCGAACCGACUAAUGUUGAAAAAUUAGCGGAUGACCUGUGGCUGGGGGUGAAAGGCCAAUCAAAC